rnacentral:rRNA from 1 species
AACGCUGGCGGCGUGCCUAAUACAUGCAAGUCGAACGCACUGACAGAGAAACUUGUUUCUCUUGACGUGAGUGGCGCACGGGUGAGUAACACGUGGGAAACCUACCCUUCAGCGGGGGAUAACCGUCGGAAACGAUGGCUAAUACCGCAUAUGUCUUUUAACCGCCUGGUUGAAAGAGGAAAGACGGCUUCGGCUGUCACUGAAGGAUGGUCCCGCGGUGCAUUAGCUAGUUGGUAAGGUAACGGCUUACCAAGGCGAUGAUGCAUAGCCGACCUGAGAGGGUGAUCGGCCACAUUGGGACUGAGACACGGCCCAAACUCCUACGGGAGGCAGCAGUAGGGAAUCUUCCGCAAUGGACGAAAGUCUGACGGAGCAACGCCGCGUGAGUGAAGAAGGUUUUCGGAUCGUAAAACUCUGUUGUCGGAGAAGAACAAGUAGGAGAGUAACUGUUCCUACCUUGACGGUACCCGACCAGAAAGCCACGGCUAACUACGUGCCAGCAGCCGCGGUAAUACGUAGGUGGCAAGCGUUGUCCGGAUUUAUUGGGCGUAAAGCGAGCGCAGGUGGUUUCUUAAGUCUGAUGUGAAAGCCCACGGCUCAACCGUGGAAGGUCAUUGGAAACUGGGGAACUUGAAUGCAGAAGAGGAGAGUGGAAUUCCAUGUGUAGCGGUGAAAUGCGUAGAUAUAUGGAGGAACACCAGUGGCGAAGGCGACUCUCUGGUCUGUUAUUGACACUGAGGCUCGAAAGCGUGGGGAGCAAACAGGAUUA